CAAAGAAUUCCGAAAGUAAAAACUAAAACUAAAACUGGCACAUGCAAAACAUUUCCCUGAAAGGUCACGAUUGAUAAACCGAUUGACAUACAGCGUUUCUGAGCAUCUGGACACGAAAAGAAUUAUGGAAUGAAAUCCCGUAGAUGUACCGAUCGAGUCAACGUAAUCGUCAGAAGAAAGGCAGAUGUUCGGAUGGAUCGAUUCAAUGACGAAAUUCAACUAAUUAAAUUUGAACCAUAAACAAUAAGCAUUGACAACGACGACGAAGACGACGGCAGCAAUAGUAACCGCAACGAAAAAUGCAUUUCAUCGACUUUUUGCUGCAUUUGAUGUGCUUCAUUUGCUGGAUACUUAAAUCAGUCUACAUUUUUUCAUUCGAUUACCUAAUUCCAGUUAUUGGCUAUAUUCUACCCGUUCUCACCAAAUACACAAGCCAACUGUUCUCAUUGAUAUUGCGCAUCUUUUUCACAUACAUUUCACCAUGCAUCAUUCAAGUGAUCAACGGAACCACAUACGUAUUCACGAAAGUAUUAAACGGAAUCAGCGUCGCUUCGAUGAAAAUCAUCGAUUCGGAUACGAAUUUAGAGUAUGCUCAUGCAAUCAUAAUGGUCUCGAUAUUAGCCGUACUCGUAUAUUUCCAUAUUACACAGAAAAUAUUCCGAUUAUUCUACCAAUCGUAUCAAUUUGGGUCAUUGUAUUUUCGUUUUUUGGGGAAUAUACUGAAAAUGUUGCUGGUUUGCGUGCGCUUCAUCUACCGAAAGGUGGCCGCGGUACUACUCUGCAAACCGGAGCUCAUUGAUGACGAACGACCAAAGUCAAAGAAGCGAGGUUCGAGCAAGGAUGAUUCAACGAUGGAACAUUCAAGGAAAAACGAUUCAAAGAACGAAGAACGACAUCACAUCAGCACGACAAAUGGUAUUAAUGGCACGAUUGAUGGGCCUACACAUCGGCUGAAGGAAGAAUAACAAUUAGAUUAUAGCCAAAAUUUCGAUACGUUUUUAUCGAAUCAACGAAAUUUCAGCUGUGAUUAGUGUCUAAAGUUCACAUAUUAUUUGUUUGCAAUUUUUUUUACGGUUAUGUUCGUUAAUUUUUAUUAUUUAGCAUUCGAUCAUUUAAAGUCUAGAAAAGAGUAAUAAUAUUACAGUUUUGUUUUGUUUGUUGAACCGCAUUCGCAUGAUAUGUGUGUGUUCUUUUGCUUGUUGUGGUUGACAUUAAAGUAUAUGUUUUUGUUUUGCUUGUGUGUUGCUUGAGACUCAAGCCUUGAAUGAAUGUUUUAGAAAUAUCGAAAAAAAUAUUAAUUUAUGGCAAGAAAUGACGUUGAAAAUUUAAUCUAAAUAUAAGAGUUUUCGAAGAAAAAAAAUUAAAAAUUAGAAAAGAAAAAUAUUUUCAGAAGAUUUGGGAUGUUUAAACAAGAAAAAAGGGAAAAAGGAAAUAAAAAUGCACAAAUUCGUACUAGUUUAUUGUUAUUUUGUUUGACAUUUAAUAAAAAUAUAUCUUUCCUAUAGAAAAA